rnacentral:rRNA from 1 species
AACAGGAUUAGAUACCCUGGUAGUCCACGCUGUAAACGAUGUCGACUUGGAGGUUGUGCCCUUGAGGCGUGGCUUCCGGAGCUAACGCGUUAAGUCGACCGCCUGGGGAGUACGGCCGCAAGGUUAAAACUCAAAUGAAUUGACGGGGGCCCGCACAAGCGGUGGAGCAUGUGGUUUAAUUCGAUGCAACGCGAAGAACCUUACCUACUCUUGACAUCCAGAGAACUUAGCAGAGAUGCUUUGGUGCCUUCGGGAACUCUGAGACAGGUGCUGCAUGGCUGUCGUCAGCUCGUGUUGUGAAAUGUUGGGUUAAGUCCCGCAACGAGCGCAACCCUUAUCCUUUGUUGCCAGCACGUAAUGGUGGGAACUCAAAGGAGACUGCCGGUGAUAAACCGGAGGAAGGUGGGGAUGACGUCAAGUCAUCAUGGCCCUUACGAGUAGGGCUACACACGUGCUACAAUGGCAUAUACAAAGAGAAGCGAACUCGCGAGAGCAAGCGGACCUCAUAAAGUAUGUCGUAGUCCGGAUUGGAGUCUGCAACUCGACUCCAUGAAGUCGGAAUCGCUAGUAAUCGUAGAUCAGAAUGCUACGGUGAAUACGUUCCCGGGCCUUGUACACACCGCCCGUCACACCAUGGGAGUGGGUUGCAAAAGAAGUAGGUAGCUUAACCUUCGGGAGGGCGCUUACCACUUUGUGAUUCAUGACUGGGGUGAAGUCGUAACAAGGUAACC